AUGUUCCCUUUCCCCCCGCUCCUCUCAGCUGCAGGUAAACGAAGGUGAUUGUUUUACUGACUUCUCCCUCUCUCUCUCUCCUUCCGUCAGAUAGUACACCUCCUUCAACUACCGCCAUUCGUCUAAUUCUCGUGGUGAGCUGCCGCUGGUGUGUUCACUUUGCCGUUAAGAAUCGCCCCCGACUCUAUCUUUCUCCUUGCCAGGGCCACUCCUGCAGCGCGCCUCUAUUUCUUCCUCGCCGCCGUUAAACAAUCUUACCGAGCGUAGAAAGUUGGAAAGUUGCUUAGUGAUUUUUAAUUACUGAAAGUUUGUUAGAGAAAACAUCUAGUCAAACAGACAUGGAGAGCAAUGGAGGUAGUGGGCUAUUUGAUGUUGAUAGGACAACAGAUACUUUAGUACCAGAGGAGUCCACUGGGGGUCUGUUUGUACCUGGGAAGGACAGAGUUGUGUUCAGACCUCCUGAACGGAGAUCAGUUUUAGGGCUGGAUGUCCUCGCCAAUGCAAAACGUGAAUCAAAGGGUGAGGGUCCGUUUAAGGUUCCGAAAGAAAGAGUUGCCUCUGUUGCAGCUUCUCUUGAUGAAGAUGAAGAAAAGUCUACUUCAGGAAUUGAUGAAGUGGAGAAUGACACAUCGUUGGAUGGUGUACGCAAUUAUACUAAUAGGAGAUACCGUGAACUGGCUUCAAGUGAGGCAUCUGAUUCAGGUGUGACGGAAGAAGUACAAACUAGUGAAGCACUCCAUGGGCGUCGUGCAAAUAAACAUAUGCAGGUUCCGACAGCAUCAUCUGGAAGGUCUAGGAAUAGGAGUCCCAGUUCUGACUAUACGGACCAUGAUAGAAGCAGAAGCAGAAGCAGAUAUGGGGAUUAUAACAGAAGCUCUAAUAAAGCAACAAGAAGUAGACAUGGCUCUGAAAGUGAAGGAAGGACGCCUAGGGAGUCAUCUCAUGGUCAAGAAAAAGAGCAUAGUGGAGAAUAUGGAAGGAAGAAAAGUAGAUAUGAUAGGUAUAUGAGGACGCCUGGAAGAUCCGAAUGGGAUGAUGGACGAUGGGAAUGGGAAGAUACCCCACGCCGUGAUGGUCGCAGUUCUAGCAGCAGACACCAUCAACAUCCAUCCCCCAUGCUUGUUGGGGCCUCACCUGAUGCACGACUUGUUUCCCCAUGGUUGGGAGGGCGUACCCCUAGUUCAUCUGCUGCUGCAUCUCCUUGGGAUAGCAUUGCUCCUUCCCCCACUCCAAUUCGGGCAUCUGGGUCGUCUGUUAGGUCUGCAAGUUCUCGAUAUGGUGGGAAGUCUGAUCAGAUGAACUUCUCUUCGGACAAGGUGCAUUUGGCUGAGGAUGGAGAAAAUGGUGCGGAAAACAUAUGUGAAGACCAGAAUCAUGAGAUAUCAGAAAGCAUGCGUUUAGAGAUGGAGUACAAUUCUGAUCGUGCCUGGUAUGAUCGAGAAGAAGGCAGCACUAUGUAUGAUGCAGAUGGCUCCUCAUUUUUUCUUGGUGACGAGGCAUCUUUUCAGAAGAAAGAAACGGAGUUGGCCAAAAGACUGGUCCGCAAAGAUGGGAGUAAGAUGACUCUUGCACAGAGCAAAAAGUUGUCGCAGCUAACUGCUGAUAAUGCCCAGUGGGAGGACCGACAACUUCUGAGAUCAGGAGCUGUCAGAGGAACUGAGGUGCAAACUGAGUUUGAUGACGAGGAAGAACGGAAGGUUAUUCUUCUUGUGCAUGACACAAAACCCCCUUUUCUUGAUGGGAGGAUUGUUUUCACGAAGCAAGCUGAGCCUAUUAUGCCACUAAAAGACCCGACCUCUGAUAUGGCCAUAAUAUCACGAAAAGGCUCCAAUCUGGUUAGGGAAAUCCGUGAAAAACAAAGCAUGAACAAGUCACGGCAACGGUUUUGGGAGCUUGCGGGUUCAAAGCUAGGUGAAAUUCUUGGAGUCGAGAAGACUGCAGAACAGAUUGAUGCAGAUACUGCUGUAGUGGGUGAAGAAGGUGAAAUUGACUUCAAAGAGGAUGCCAAAUUUGCCCAGCAUUUAAAGAAGGGUGAGGCAGUGAGUGAUUUUGCUAAAUCAAAAACGCUAGCCCAACAGCGACAGUAUUUGCCCAUUUUUUCUGUACGCGAGGAGUUACUACAGGUCAUCCGUGAGAAUCAGGUGGUGGUAGUGGUUGGUGAAACUGGUUCUGGAAAAACAACACAACUAACACAGUAUCUUCAUGAAGAUGAGUACACGACCAAUGGGAUUGUUGGUUGCACUCAACCAAGGCGUGUAGCUGCUAUGAGUGUUGCCAAGAGAGUCAGUGAAGAGAUGGAAACUGAACUUGGUGAUAAAGUUGGAUAUGCAAUACGGUUCGAGGAUGUGACUGGGCCUAACACUGUUAUUAAGUACAUGACUGAUGGUGUGCUUCUGAGGGAGACACUGAAGGAUUCUGAUCUAGAGAAAUAUCGUGUUGUUGUGAUGGAUGAAGCACAUGAACGAUCUCUAAGCACUGAUGUGCUAUUUGGAAUCCUGAAGAAAGUUGUGGCCAGACGACGUGAUUUCAAGCUAAUUGUAACGUCUGCGACGCUUAAUGCUCAGAAAUUUUCGAAUUUCUUUGGGAGUGUACCUAUAUUUCACAUUCCUGGAAGAACUUUUCCAGUUCAAAUCUUGUAUAGUAAAACACCUUGUGAAGAUUAUGUUGAAGCUGCCGUGAAACAGGCCAUGAUGAUUCACAUCACAAGUGCUCCGGGCGAUAUUCUCAUCUUCAUGACUGGUCAAGAUGAGAUUGAGGCAACCUGUUAUGCUCUUUCUGAACGCAUGGAGCAGCUUAUUGCAACAAAGAAGGAAGCCCCGAAGCUGUUAAUUCUUCCCAUAUACUCCCAGUUGCCAGCUGACUUGCAAGCAAAGAUAUUUCAGAAAGCUGAAGAUGGAGCUCGCAAGUGUAUUGUUGCUACCAAUAUUGCUGAGACAUCUUUGACUGUAGAUGGAAUCUUCUAUGUCAUUGACACAGGUUAUGGUAAAAUAAAAGUCUAUAACCCUCGUAUGGGUAUGGACGCUCUCCAAGUGUUUCCUGUUAGCCGUGCUGCUGCGGACCAGCGUGCUGGACGUGCUGGAAGAACUGGGCCGGGGACUUGCUAUCGUCUUUAUACCGAAAGUGCGUAUCUAAAUGAGAUGCUUCCCAGUCCUGUGCCAGAAAUUCAACGGACCAACCUCGGCAAUGUGGUUUUGUUGCUCAAGUCUCUGAAAAUUGACAAUUUGUUGGAUUUUGACUUUAUGGAUCCUCCUCCUCAAGAGAACAUCCUCAACUCCAUGUACCAGUUGUGGGUGUUGGGUGCUUUGAACAAUGUUGGGGAUCUGACAGAUCUAGGCUGGAAAAUGGUAGAGUUUCCUCUUGAUCCUCCCCUUGCCAAGAUGCUUUUAAUGGGCGAGCAGCUAGGAUGCAUUAAUGAAGUUUUGACAAUUGUGUCGAUGCUUUCGGUGCCAUCUGUUUUCUUUAGACCCAAGGAUAGGGUUGAGGAGAGUGAUGCCGCACGGGAAAAAUUCUUCGUGCCAGAGUCCGACCAUCUUACCCUUCUAAAUGUAUACCAGCAAUGGAAAGCCAAUCAAUAUCGGGGUGAUUGGUGUAAUGACCAUUUUCUGCACGUCAAGGGAUUGCGCAAGGCUAGAGAGGUGAGAUCCCAGCUACUGGAUAUUUUGAAGACGUUGAAGAUACCUCUCACAUCAUGUGGGCCCGACUGGGAUGUUGUGAGAAAAGCCAUAUGUUCUGCUUAUUUCCAUAAUGCUGCACGACUCAAGGGGGUCGGCGAGUAUGUCAACUGCAGAAACGGAAUGCCAUGCCACUUGCAUCCAAGCAGUGCUAUAUAUGGAUUGGGUUAUACUCCAGAUUAUGUGGUUUAUCAUGAACUGAUCUUGACAACGAAGGAGUACAUGCAAUGUGCAACAGCAGUCGAACCCCAGUGGCUGGCUGAGCUGGGACCCAUGUUUUUCUCGGUGAAGGAGUCGGACACAUCAAUGUUAGAACAUAAGAAGAAACAGAAACAAGAAAAAACUGCCAUGGAGGAAGAGAUGGAGAAUUUGAGGAAGGUCCAAGAGGAGAGGGAGAGGGAGAGCAUAGAGAAGGAGAGGAUGAAGAGGGCUAAGGAACAGCAACGAGUUUCAAUGCCUGGGUUGAAGCUGGGCUCUUCCACUUAUUUAAGACCAAAAAAACUUGGCUUGUAGGUGUUGCUUUUUCUAUACCUCCUAGUGUUGGACAGUAGAUGGUGUAGAAGCCGAGGCAAUUCUUACCACGAGAGAACCACCUCUGUACAAUUGAUUACACAUUAGUGAUCUAUGUUUUAUGUUGCGAGCUGAAUCCUCACCCUUAAUCAAGUUGAACCAAAUAUGCGAACAUAUGCUUGGGUGGCAACGUGUAUACAUUUUCGAGACUAAAGAUUCAUGCUUGUGCACCUAGUGAGGAAUCAAAUAACAUUAGCGACAUCCCACCGUUACAAAAUUGAUGAAGUUAACCAGUGCACAGGCACAAUCCCGAAGGCUUUAUCUCAGAAGUCUGCCAUUCUGAACCUGGGGCAGCAUUUGGAUCGUAUAACAGCGUGUGGUAGGCAGGAUCCUCCUGUAAUGAGAAGAGCAAAAGCUUUC